rnacentral:rRNA from 1 species
CACGUAGGGUGCGAGCGUUGUCCGGAAUCAUUGGGCGUAAAGAGCGCGUAGGCGGCCAGAUAGGUCCGUUGUGAAAACUCGAGGCUCAACCUCGAGACGCCGAUGGAAACCAUCUGGCUAGAGUCCGGAAGAGGAGAGUGGAAUUCCUGGUGUAGCGGUGAAAUGCGCAGAUAUCAGGAAGAACACCCGUGGCUAAGGCGGCUCUCUAGUACGGUACUGACGCUGAGACGCGAAAAGCGUGGGGGAGCGAACAGGG